rnacentral:rRNA from 1 species
GCUUGUCUCAAAGAUUAAGCCAUGCAUGUCUUAGUGUAAAUAACUCUUAUGAAACUGCGAAUGGCUCAUUAAAUCAGUUAUCGUUUAUUUGAUGGUCCCUUACUACAUGGAUAACCGUAGUAAUUCUAGAGCUAAUACAUGCUAAGACCGUAAGGUUGUAUUUAUUAGAUAUACCGAGUAGGUGAAUCAUAAUAACUUCGCAAAUCGCAGUAAUACUGCGAUAAAUCAUUCAAGUUUCUGCCCUAUCAUGCUCUCGAUGGUAGUGUAUUGGACUACCAUGGCUCUCACGGGUAACGGGGAAUUAGGGUUCGAUUCCGGAGAAGGAGCCUGAGAAACGGCUACUACAUCUAAGGAAGGCAGCAGG